rnacentral:rRNA from 1 species
CACGUAGGGUGCGAGCGUUGUCCGGAAUCAUUGGGCGUAAAGAGCGUGUAGGCGGCCAGAUAAGUCCGCUGUGAAAACUCGAGGCUCAACUUCGAGCUGUCGGUGGAAACUAUUUGGCUAGAGUCCGGAAGAGGAGAGUGGAAUUCCUGGUGUAGCGGUGAAAUGCGCAGAUAUCAGGAAGAACACCCGUGGCGAAGGCGGCUCUCUGGUACGGAACUGACGCUGAGACGCGAAAGCGUGGGGAGCGAACAGG